UUUCAGAUGCUCCGUAAAGGUUGCCCAUAAUUGCUGAGAUGGACUUGAAAUCUACAUGUUUUGAAUUAUCCACAUCUUCCCUACGUCGACUAAAAAUGAAUCAAUUGCGCUGCAAAGGACCAUCGAAGCGCAGAGAAAGUGCUUUAGUUAAGAUAUACUAGUAAUAAUUGAUAUAUAAUUUGCCUAAUAAAUUAAAUAUAAUUACA
rnacentral:lncRNA from 1 species